rnacentral:rRNA from 1 species
UACGUAGGGUGCAAGCGUUGUCCGGAAUUAUUGGGCGUAAAGAGCUCGUAGGCGGUUUGUUGCGUCGGCUGUGAAAUCCCGAGGCUCAACCUCGGGUCUGCAGUCGAUACGAGCAAACUAGAGUGUUGCAGGGGAGACUGGAAUUCCUGGUGUAGCGGUGAAAUGCGCAGAUAUCAGGAGGAACACCGGUGGCGAAGGCGGGUCUCUGGGCAUGAUCUGACGCUGAGGAGCGAAAGUGUGGGGAGCGAACAGG